rnacentral:rRNA from 1 species
CCUACGGGCGGCAGCAGUAGGGAAUAUUGCUCAAUGGGGGAAACCCUGAAGCAGCAACGCCGCGUGGAGGAUGAAGGUUUUCGGAUUGUAAACUCCUUUUGUUAGAGAAGAUAAUGACGGUAUCUAACGAAUAAGCACCGGCUAACUCCGUGCCAGCAGCCGCGGUAAUACGGAGGGUGCAAGCGUUACUCGGAAUCACUGGGCGUAAAGAGCGCGUAGGCGGGAUAGCAAGUCAGAUGUGAAAUCCUAGGGCUUAACCAUAGAACUGCAUUUGAAACUGUUAUUCUAGAGUAUGGGAGAGGUAGGUGGAAUGCUUGGUGUAGGGGUAAAAUCCGUAGAGAUCAAGAGGAAUACUCAUUGCGAAGGCGACCUGCUAGAACAUAACUGACGCUGAUGCGCGAAAGCGUGGGGAGCAAACAGGAUUAGAUACCCUUGUAGUC